GCAGUCGAGCGAGAAUUUCCUUCGGGAGAAAGUACAGCGGCGGACGGGUGAGUAACGCGUAGGAAUCUACCUAGUAGUGGGGGACAACAUGUGGAAACGCAUGCUAAUACCGCAUACGCCCUAUGGGGGAAAGCAGGGGAUCUUCGGACCUUGCGCUAUUAGAUGAGCCUGCGUCGGAUUAGUUUGUUGGUAGGGUAAUGGCCUACCAAGACUACGAUCCGUAGCUGGUCUGAGAGGAUGAUCAGCCACACUGGGACUGAGACACGGCCCAGACUCCUACGGGAGGCAGCAGUGGGGAAUAUUGGACAAUGGGCGGAAGCCUGAUCCAGCCAUGCCGCGUGUGUGAAGAAGGCUCUAGGGUUGUAAAACACUUUCAGUAGGGAGGAAAAGUUAGUAGUUAAUAACUGCUAACCCUGACGUUACCUACAGAAGAAGCACCGGCAAACUCCGUGCCAGCAGCCGCGGUAAUACGGAGGGUGCGAGCGUUAAUCGGAAUUACUGGGCGUAAAGCGCGCGUAGGCGGUUUGAUAAGCUGGAUGUGAAAGCCCCGGGCUC
rnacentral:rRNA from 1 species